ensembl:misc_RNA 7SK 7SK RNA
UAAUGUCCAAUCUGGCUGUGACGUGUCACUCCACUGAUCACCAGGGUUGACGGUUCUGAUAGGGCUGGCCAGGCAGGUAUCCCCUUCCUUCCUCAUCCCUCCACGUGCGUCCCUCCCAAAGUUGCACGCUUUGUAGACAGGAUGACCACCCCUGACAGAGGAGGACCAUUUCCUUGGUCAAGGUUAUACAAGUAGCUGCACUUCCCUGCUAGGACGUCCGAACAAGCUCUCAAAUGGUGGUGGGAUUGGGACUGUCUUACCUUUCCCCAUGGAACUCUCUGAUCCACAUGGACUGCUUUACAUAGGGUAUAACCGUAUCCCCUU